rnacentral:rRNA from 1 species
UACGUAGGGGGCAAGCGUUAUCCGGAUUUACUGGGUGUAAAGGGAGCGCAGACGGCAGUGCAAGUCUGGAGUGAAAGCCCGGGGCCCAACCCCGGGACUGCUCUGGAAACUGUACGGCUGGAGUACGGGAGGGGCAGGCGGAAUUCCUAGUGUAGCGGUGAAAUGCGUAGAUAUUAGGAGGAACACCAGUGGCGAAGGCGGCUUACUGGACUGUAACUGACGUUGAGGCUCGAAAGCGUGGGUAGCAAACAGG